rnacentral:tRNA from 1 species
UCUGGUAUAGCUCAGUGGUAGAGCGCCCGGCUCGAUUUCCGGGUGGACACAGGUUCGAGCCCUGUUACCAGAACCA